GCUAAGUGAUAUAAAGGAUUGAUUGUGCACAUAUAAUCCUUUAGACAUAAACCGUUGACCAAGUCUGGGGCUUGGAUCGGAUCCAGCUGCACCUAGGCUCCACUCUGAGGAGGAGUUUAGAAAAGCAAGGGUGUGCUUUGAACCUCAUGAGUCAACAGGAGGGUCUCCCUGGUGGCUCUGUCUGACCCUGUUCUCUGUGCAGUAAAUAACCAAGUGGACCUUGCCAUUGAAUCCUGUUAAAACUGACGCAUUUACUAUCAAACUUUGUUAAAUUGUUGAUUUGUAUCAAUAAAUAGACUGCCGCUUCUCUCUUAGGAGUGAAGUGUAUCGCUCCAUCGGCGACACUUGCAAGGCAGAGCAGAGGGAAAGGCCGGCUGGGGAUGGUGCCACGCUGUGUUCGGCAGCAGCGCCAGCAGCCGCAUCCUGGUGUACUCAUCCAAGCCAAGGAGUGAUGAUGGAAGAAUGAUGUGCCGGCAUCCAGCAGGAGCUCUGACAGCUCUUCCCAGCUCACAGCACGUGGCAGAGCUGCUUUCCAAGAGGAGUUUUCCUACUCAAAGACGAUCCCAGCAAUGCCAGGCUGGCACAGACAGCAGCUGAUCCUGCGAGCAGGCAGGGGUGGGCUUGGAUUCAGGAGUGCAUGCUCAUGUUGAAGGAAUAAGCUACACAGAUCCAGGCGCUGUUAUGCUGACAGAGCAGAAGCCACAAAGAAGGAUUGUCCCGACACAGCUCCAGUGAAAGGUGCAGUGUUUGCCCACGGGGUGCAGACCCACAACUGGUGGAG